rnacentral:misc_RNA from 1 species
GAUGAAGAACGCAGCGAAAUGCGACAAGUAAUGUGAAUUGCAGAAUUCAGUGAAUCAUCGAAUCUUUGAACGCACAUUGCGCCCGCCAGCAUUCUGGCGGGCAUGCCUGUUCGAGCGUCAUUUCAACCCUCGAGCCCCCCCGGGGGCCUCGGUGUUGGGGGACGGCACACCAGCCGCCCCCGAAAUGCAGUGGCGACCCCGCCGCAGCCUCCCCUGCGUAGUAGCACACACCUCGCACCGGAGCGCGGAGGCGGUCACGCCGUAAAACGCCCAACUUUCUUAGAGUUGACCUCGGAUCAGGUAGGAAUACCCGCUGAACUUAAGCAUAUCAAUAAGCGGAGGA